CCCUUAGAUGUCCUGGGCUGCACGCGCGCUACACUGAUGUGUCCAGUAAGCACCUAACCUCUUCCGAAAGGAACGGGUAACCUUUGCAAAGCACAUCGUGAUGGGGAUAGAUUAUUGCAAUUAUUGGUCUUGAACGAGGAAUUCCUAGUAAGCACAAGUCAUCAGCUUGUGUUGAUUACGUCCCUGCCCUUUGUACACACCGCCCGUCGCUCCUACCGAUUGAAUGUUCCGGUGAGCUCUUCGGACUGCGCGGUCUGCAGUUUCUGCGUUCCGUGCGGAAAGUUGCGCAAACCUUAACAUUUAGAGGAAGGAGAAGUCGUAACA
rnacentral:rRNA from 1 species